CCUUACUAUACGGAAUAACAAACAUAUGAUUAAAAAUGUGGUAUAAAAACAACACAAAUAUAGCGUUCAUACGAAAGUCGGGUGGCAUUAUCAACUCUGGUUGUUGCAGUAACUUUAAUGAAACAAUUUUGAUCGACUUUUUGACCAAAUACUCCACUUGGAAUAAUUCAAUAUAAGAUUUCGAAUACUCGAUAAAACGCAGAUCUGGAAAAAUAUUUUUUGUAUUUGUAUAAAAAGAUUAUGGCUUCUUGA